CCUACUAGAAGACAGGUUGAGUACAGAACGGCCUAAUAGAAGACAGGUUGAGUACAGAACGGCCUACUAGAAGACAGGUUGAGUACAGAACGGCCUAAUAGAAGACAGGUUGAGUACAGAACGGCCUACUAGAAGACAGGUUGAGUACAGAACGGCCUAAUAGAAGACAGGUUGAGUACAGAACGGCCUACUAGAAGACAGGUUGAGUACAGA